GCCAGCAUGGUGUAGUGGUUUGAGUGUUGGACUACAAAUUUGGAGGCCAGGUUCGAUUCCUCUUGGCC
rnacentral:tRNA from 1 species